rnacentral:lncRNA from 1 species
ACACUGAGGCUUUUGUUGUGGGAAACCUGUAAACUGCUUGUGCUUCCUUUCCUUUUGUCAUAUUUUUUAUAUUUUCUACUUUAAAUGGUUAAAUCAAACCAAUUAGAAGUCAUAAUGCAUAAUUGCUUACAAGAAUGAAUUAAUAUAUCAGCGUUUAUAUCAGCGUAUUAUGUCAGCAUCCUGUGAAGCAAUAACAAACAACAUUAUUUAGCUAUAACGGGAAAACUCAGUGUUUAAUGAAAAACCACAAAGUUCAACAAAGAUGCCAGGUGAAGAGACUGAAGCGACACAUUAUCAGGUUCUCGCAGAUCACAGGACUGCACAUUUCCCUGUCCAUUCAUCUACUGCCUAAUGGCCAUGUCUCUGUCACCUCUACCACCGUCUCCACUUGCUUUAUCUCUCCUGUACAGACCCAUAAAGACUACACUAAAAGACGGAGAAUACUGUUUGAGCAGUGAGGCACAACGUUCUUGGAUGACAGCGUGUGACUUCUCGCUG